rnacentral:rRNA from 1 species
GACGAACGCUGGCGGAGUGCUUAACACAUGCAAGUCGAACGAAGUGGCGAACGGGUGAGUAACGCGUAAUCAACCUGCCCUUCAGAGGGGGACAACAGUUGGAAACGACUGCUAAUACCGCAUACUGAAGGAGGGGAUUGCGUCUGAUUAGCUAGUUGGAGGGGUAACGGCGAACCAAGGCGAUGAUCAGUAGCCGGACUGGGAGGAUGACCGGCCACAUUGGGACUGAGACACGGCCCAGACUCCUACGGGGUGCAGCAGUGGGGAAACUUCCGCAAAGGACGAAAGGCUUACGGUGCAACGCCGCUUGAGUGAUGACGGCCUUCGGGCUGUAAAGCUCUGUUAAUCGGGACGCGGUACCGGAAUAGAAAGCCACGGCUAACUACGUGCCAGCAGCCGCGGUAAUUC